rnacentral:misc_RNA from 1 species
GAUGAAGAACGCAGUGAAAUGCGAUAAGUAAUGUGAAUUGCAGAAUUCAGUGAAUCAUCGAAUCUUUGAACGCACAUUGCGCCCCCUGGUAUUCCGGGGGGCAUGCCUGUCCGAGCGUCAUUACAACCCUCAAGCUCAGCUUGGUGUUGGGCCCCGCCGCCCCGGCGGGCCCUAAAGUCAGUGGCGGUGCCGUCCGGCUCCGAGCGUAGUAAUUCUUCUCGCUCUGGAGACCCGGUUGUGUGCUUGCCAACAACCCCCAAUUUUUUAAGGUUGACCUCGGAUCAGGUAGGGAUACCCGCUGAACUUAAGCAUAUCAAUAAGCGGAGGA